UAGCUUGAGAAAAACAUUCACUCUUGCUUAUGUGAAGCUUGGGUAAGGUUGAAAAUAAAUAAUUGGAGCCCGAAAUUGUGAAUACUGAAACUUGGAGGAAGCAGAUUAGUUGAGGUUUUAAGGGCUGUGUUCUUUUA